GUAGUGGUGAUGAGCUUCUAAUAUGUAAGAAAAACCUUGUCUGGUUUAUUCGAUGAAAUAUACAUGUUAUGCUUGGCUUCUGAGUUUG